GGUCCCUGACCACAGAGAUCAUCGUGACAUAUCUCUGAAAGCUCAAAACUAUUUGAAGCGAUUAUCUUGUUAUGCCAGCUCUUUGCCCAUAGGAGAGAAUGUAAUAUUUCUGUGGGCACAGCACCUAGUUGAUGUAAUUGUGCCUGGGCCAUGUCUACAAAAGGAAGAAUCAUUUACCCAUGGGUCCAGCACACAGGUGACUUCACUCUACUGCCUUGAUUCUUGCCCACGAGAAUCAUCGUUACAUAUUUUUGGGCUCUCCUCCUAGAUGAUGUGAGACUUUUUUUCUUCCUGGGUCCUGUCCACAAAAGGAGAUUGUGACAUAUCACUUGACCCAGCACCUAUGUGAUGUGACUCUCAUCUGAUGCCUUGGCUCUUCCCACUGGGCUGGUUGUGACAUACAGCUGGGCACAGCUUCUAGGUUAUGUGACUCUUCUCUUCUUCCUGAGUCCUGCCCACAGGGAGCAUUGUGACAUAUCUCUAAACACUUCACCUAGAUAAUGGGACUCUUUCAUCUGAGCCCUCCCCAAAGAGGCUAUUGUGACAUGUUUGGAUCAAGCACCUAGGAGAUGUUACUGUUCUCUCCUACCUGUUACCUGUUACUGGCAGUGAAUCCGUAUGGGUACAGGUCUGCUGCAACAUUGACCCAGCAAUAGGAUGAGUUGGUGACUCUCAGACCAAGAUUCAGGAUACCUGAAACCUAAGAGACUUUGACUCCACUAAGGACACCCAGCGUGCAGGACAAAUAGAAGCUCUCAUGCAGAGAUAAAGUCCCCAGUUGAGAUUGUAACUCCUGAACAUGUGCAGAAUUGAUAAUCUCAUUUAUGGACCACCCUGCAGCUGUGAUUGUGACAUAUGCCUUUGUCCAGCACUUGAGUGAUUUGACUCUCCUGCCUGGGCUCAGGUCACAGAUAGGAUUGUGACACAUCGCUGAACUCAGGACCUAGGUUUUGCCCACAGGGGACAUUGUGACAUAUCACUGGGCCCAACACCAAGGUUAUGUUACUCUCUUUCCUUGGUCCUGCUCUCAAACAACAUUGUGAAAUACUGCUGAACCCAGCACGAAGAAGAUGUGAUGUGCCUCUUCUCUUCUGCCUGGGCCCUGCCAAUAAAAGGGGAUUGUAAUGAAUCACUGGACCCAGAACCUAGAUGGGUUGGUGACUCUCAGACCAAGAUUCAGCACACCUGUGAGCCUCUGACUCCACUGAGGGAACACAGUUCAUGGGAGGGAUUGAGGAUUUAAUACACAGAUCCAGUUCACCUUUGAGAUGGUGACUCGUGUAAUUAGACACAACAUACAGGACAUGGAUGAAGCUGGAAACCACCAUUCUCAGCAAACUAUCACAAGGACAAAAAACCAAGCACCGCAUGUUCUCACUCAUAGGAGGGAUUGAGACAAUUCUGGAAGCCCAGCACCUAGGUGAUGUGACUUUCAUCUUUUGUUUGGACCCUGUGCACAAAAGGAAGAGUGGCUUAUCACUGGACCUCACACACAGGAGGUAUUGUGACAUAUUCCUGGAGCAAGUACCCAGGUACUGUGACGUAUGGCUGAGACAAACACCUAGGGCACGAGAGCCUCCUGCCUGGGUCCUGCCCACAAGGAACCUUUUGGCUUAUCUCUGCAUCCAUGAACUAGGAGAUGUGACUCUUCUUUUCUGUCUGGGUUCUGCAAAAACAAGUGAUUGUGACAUAUCAUCAAACCCAGCAACUAGACGAUGUGAUUUUUCUUCCCUGCUUGAGCCCUGGAUAUGCUGUGUAUUGUGAUAUAUGGCUGGGUCCAACAUCAAGGAGAGAUUAUGACAUAUCUCUGGAACCAGAACCUUAGUGAUGUGACUCUUGUCUCCUGCUGAAGCCAUGCCCACACAAGGGAAAGUGACUCAUCACUGGACCCAGCACACAGGUGAUGUAAUUCUUCUGCCUUGUUUUUGUACCCAGGAGCCAUUGUAAUCCAUCUCUGGGCCCAUCAUUUAAAUGAUGUGACUAUCCUUUUCUUCCUGAGCCCUAUUCACAGGGAAAAUAGUGACACAUCUGUGGGCUUCUCACCGAAAUGAUGUGACUUUCCUUCCUGGGCUCACCUCUCAAGGGAAUUUUGACAUAUUACUGGACCAAGCACCUAGGUGAUGUGGCUCUGACAAACGAGAAAUUGUGAUGUACCACUGUUCCACACCUAAGAGAUCUGACUCUCUUUUCAUGAGCCCUGCAUUUAUUGUGUAUUGUGACAUAUGGCUUGGUCCAACGCCUAGGUGAUGUGACUCUCUACUUCUUCCUCGGCCAUGCCAAAGAAGAGGAUUGUGACAUAUCACUGGAUCCAGCACUUAGGUGAUGUAAAUCUUUUCUUUUGCUGAGCCAUGCAUAUUUUUGGUAUUGUGACAUGUAGCUGGACCGAACACCUACAGGACUGGAUCAGAGGCUACUUAAUAAGCCCUGCCCAUAGGCGGCCUUGUGACAUAUGUCUGCAUCUAUCACCAAAGUGAUGUGACUCUUUUUCUGCCUGCAUCCUGCACAUAGAGAAGAUUGUGACAUAUCGCUGGGCCCAGUAACCAGGUGAUGUGUCUUUUCUGGCAGGUCUUUUCCCACAGGGAGCAUUGUAAAAUAUCACUGGGCUCGGCCACCAGGUUAUGUGACCCUUCUGCCUGUGCCCUGCUUCCUGGAAAUGUGACAUUCCUCAUACAGCACCCAGGUGAUGUGACUCUUCUGCUCAUUUUCUACUUAUAGUUGGGAUUGUGACAAAUAUCCUGGCCCAACUCAUAGGUGCUAUGAUGAUUCCCGUACCUGGAAUCAGCCAAUAGGGAGAUAGUGUCUCUUGUAUUGUAGCCUAGGGAAACAAGUAAGAUCCUGGGCCUCCUCUUUGUAUGAAUGUCAUAAAGAGUUAUCAAUCUGACUGGGCAGUGUGGCUCAUGCCUGUAAUCCCAGCACUUUGGGAGGCCAAGGUGGGUGAAUCACGAGGUCAGGAGUUGGAGAGCAGCCUGGCCAACAUAGUGAAACUCUGUCUCUACUAAAAAUACAAAAAUUAGCCGGGUGUGGUGACAUGUGCCUGUAAUCCCAGCUACUCAAGAGGCUGAGGUGGGAGAAUCACUUGAACCCGGGAGGCAGAGGUUGCAGUGAGCUGAGACCAUGCCAUUGCACUCCAGCUUGGGUGACAGAGUGAGAUGAGGCUCCCUCUCAAAAAAAAAAAAAAAAAAGAGAAGAAAGAAAGAAUUACCAAUCUUUGGUGUGUUUCAUAAACCAUUUGGGUGGCACAAAGAAUGUCUUCAGAGGGCUUAGCGCACAGGUGAGAUUGUUUCUAAAAUGCAGAAACUGCCAACUGUUAGGACUGUCACCCUUACACAUGGCAAAAGCCAGCUAGUGAGCUCCUGAAUCUCACAGGUGGACACAGUUCAAAGUUGGAAUUGUGACUGUCAUAUAUUAACAUUUGGCCACAAUUAAGGUGGUGACUCAUUAAUAAAUGCAGUACAUAGGUAGGUGAAGACUCUCUGAUCUAGACCCUGUCAACUAGAGAGUGGGGACUCUGUAAUCUGGACCUUGCCAACUAUGCUCAGAAAGGUCUCAGAGCAGACUGUGACUUUUAUGCACACUCUACAAAGCCCUCAGGCGGUGCAGAAAGUGUUCCAACAGAGCCCAGCACACAGGUGAAAACCCCUGCCUGUGCCCUGCCCAUAUGGGCAAUUUUGACAUGUUGCUGAGUCUGAUACCUGGGUGAUGUAACUCUCUGGCCUGGUCCUGCCUACAAGGUUUUCUGUAACAUAUCUAUGCACCAGUCAACUUUGUGUUUUGAUAAUCCUCUUCUACCAAUUUCUGCUCAAAAGAAGGAUUUUGACAAAUAAUUGGGACCAGCACCUAGCUGACAUUAUUCUACUUUUCUUUCAAGGUUUGGUUUUCAGGGGAUGUUGUGACAUGUCACUAGGCUAACAGACAGGUGAUAUUCUUCUGCCUUGGCUCUUCCAAAAUAAAGCAUUUUUACACA